rnacentral:rRNA from 1 species
UAUGCGCCGAUUCCCCUUGAGUUUGAUCUGGCUCAGAGCGAACGCUGGCGGCGUACUUAACACAUGCAAGUCGAACGAGGAUCGUCGGGUUAGCAAUAAUUCGGCGGUCCGAGUGGCGUACGGGUGAGUAACACGUGGGUAACCUGCCCUCGAGACCGGGACACCCUCUCGAAAGGGAGGCUAAUACUGGAUACGUUCCCCGGGUCGCGAGACCUGGGGAGGAAAGGUGGCGCAAGCUACCGCUCGUGGAGGGGCUCGCGGCCUAUCAGCUAGUUGGUGAGGUAACGGCUCACCAAGGCGAUGACGGGUAGCUGGUCUGAGAGGACGACCAGCCACACGGGAACUGAGACACGGUCCCGACUCCUACGGGAGGCAGCAGUGGGGAAUUUUCCGCAAUGGGCGAAAGCCUGACGGAGUGACGCCGCGUGGGGGACGAAGGCCUUCGGGUCGUAAACCCCUGUCAGAGGGAAAGAAGGGUGUCGGCGUGAACAACGCCGGCAUCUGACGGUACCUUCAGAGGAAGCCCCGGCCAACUCUGUGCCAGCAGCCGCGGUAAGACAGAGGGGGCAAGCGUUGCUCGGAAUUACUGGGCGUAAAGGGCGCGUAGGCGGGAUGGCAAGUCGGUCGUGAAAUCCUUCGGCUCAACCGAAGAACGUCGGCCGAUACUGCCGUUCUUGAGGGAUGCAGAGGAGACUGGAAUUCCCGGUGUAGCGGUGAAAUGUGUAGAGAUCGGGAGGAACACCGGUGGCGAANG